AAAUAGUACCUAAACCAAAUAACUACCUAAUAUCUUAAUGUAUUAAUUAUAAUAUAUAUUUGAUACUUUUGCUAAGUAUCCAACUUAUAGAUAAAGAUAAUUUAUCUCUGAAUUUCUACUACAACUUCAGGGUUGCCAUAAAUCUGUAAAACCAGGGAAUAUUAGGAAUUCCUUUUUAAGCCAGGGAAACCGGGAAAAGUCAGGGAAUUUAAUGUAUGGUGGAUCAAUUACAACAAUUAAAAGGAAAAAAGACGUUUAAUGAAAACUGCUCCAAUUGAAGUGAUCAAG